rnacentral:lncRNA from 1 species
UGCAUUUGGCGGGAUCUGUGUCUCUCGCUGGUGCUGGCACAGGAGCUUGGGAUCUGUCUCCUCUUUCGCCUCCUGCACCUUGAGAGCCCUGGGCUACUCUGUCACAGCCCCUGUUGCCCUGCGAUCUGUAGGUCCUUGGGGACGCAUAGUUAAGGUGCCAGGACAUCCUGGAAGCUGGGAAAUGAUUUCUUCCAGACCAUGGCUGGAGAAGGAAAGAAGGUGUGUUUUGCCUGAUUCAGGGACUAUAGAGAGAACCAAGUUCUGCAGGCCUGUCAUCUAAGUCUCAGGGCGGGGAGACCUUCCUUCCCCACGGGUUUGAGGCUAUGGCUAAGUGGUGAGCCUUGGUGAGACGCAGAAAGGAUCCAUCCCAGGCACUUGGCUAGAGCUUUUGCAUAUGCAGAAGAAGAAUUGGAUGAAAUUCAGCCUUCAUUAUGAUGAAAACUCUCAACAAGUUAGGAAUAGAAGGUCCUGUAGCUUUUUCUUUUGAGAAGGAGUUUUGC